rnacentral:misc_RNA from 1 species
UCUCCGUUGGUGAACCAGCGGAGGGAUCAUUACAGGACUCGCAAGACUCCUACAACCCUGUGAACUUAACUAUAAGCACGUUGCUUCGGCGGGUGGCUCGGUGGGGGUUCUCCCUCCCCGAGACGCUAAACCCGCCGGCAGCCUACUAUACUCUUUCUCUUUGCGUUGGCAUCUCGAGUACAAUCAAACAAGUUAAAACUUUCAACAACGGAUCUCUUGGUUCUG